GAUGAACGCUGGCGGCGUGCUUAACACAUGCAAGUCGAACGAGAAGUGAAGACGGAAACCUUCGGGCGGAAGGCUUUAUUUCGAGUGGCGGACGGGUGAGUAACGCGUGGGUAACCUGCCUCAUACAGGGGGAUAACAGUUGGAAACGACUGUUAAUACCGCAUAAGACCACAGCACCGCAUGGUGCGGGGGUAAAAACUCCGGUGGUAUGAGAUGGACCCGCGUUCGAUUAGCCAGUUGGCGGGGUAACGGCCCACCAAAGCGACGAUCGAUAGCCGAUCUGAGAGGAUGACCGGCCACAUUGGGACUGAGACACGGCCCAAACUCCUACGGGAAGCAGCAGUGGGGAAUAUUGCACAAUGGGGGAAACCCUGAUGCAGCGACGCCGCGUGAGUGAAGAAGUAUUUCGGUACGUAAAGCUCUAUCAGCAGGGAAGAAAAUGACGGUACCUGAGUAAGAAGCCCCGGCUAACUACGUG
rnacentral:rRNA from 1 species